CCCUUUGGGUGUGACUGCGUACCUUUUGUAUAAUGGGUCAGCGACUUAUAUUCUGUAGCAAGGUUAACCGAAUAGGGGAGCCGGAGGGAAACCGAGUCUUAACCGGGCGUUAAGUUGCAGGGUAUAGACCCGAAACCCGGUGAUCUAGCCAUGGGCAGGUUGAAGGUUGGGUAACACUAACUGGAGGACCGAACCGACUAAUGUUGAAAAAUUAGCGGAUGACCUGUGGCUGGGGGUGAAAGGCCAAUCAAACCGGGAGAUAGCUGGUUCUCCCCGAAAGCUAUUUAGGUAGCGCCUCGUGAAUUCAUCUCCGGGGGUAGAGCACUGUUUCGGCUAGGGGGCCAUCCCGGCUUACCAACCCGAUGCAAACUGCGAAUACCGGAGAAUGUUAUCACGGGAGACACACGGCGGGUGCUAACGUCCGUCGUGAAGAGGGAAACAACCCAGACCGCCAGCUAAGGUCCCAAAGUCAUGGUUAAGUGGGAAACGAUGUGGGAAGGCCCAGACAGCCAGGAUGUUGGCUUAGAAGCAGCCAUCAUUUAAAGAAAGCGUAAUAGCUCACUGGUCGAGUCGGCCUGCGCGGAAGAUGUAACGGGGCUAAACCAUGCACCGAAGCUGCGGCAGCGACACUGUGUGUUGUUGGGUAGGGGAGCGUUCUGUAAGCCUGUGAAGGUGUGUCGUGAGGCAUGCUGGAGGUAUCAGAAGUGCGAAUGCUGACAUAAGUAACGAUAAAGCGGGUGAAAAGCCCGCUCGCCGGAAGACCAAGGGUUCCUGUCCAACGUUAAUCGGGGCAGGGUGAGUCGACCCCUAAGGCGAGGCCGAAAGGCGUAGUCGAUGGGAAACGGGUUAAUAUUCCCGUACUUGGUGUUACUGCGAAGGGGGGACGGAGAAGGCUAUGUUGGCCGGGCGACGGUUGUCCCGGUUUAAGCGU
rnacentral:rRNA from 1 species